CCUACGGGUAGCAGCAGUGGGGAAUAUUGCACAAUGGGGGGAACCCUGAUGCAGCGACGCCGCGUGCGUGAAGAAGUACUUCGGUAUGUAAAGCUCUAUCAUCAGGGAAGAAAAUGACGGUACCUGACUAAGAAGCCCCGGCUAACUACGUGCCAGCAGCCGCUGUCAUCCGUAGGGGGCAAGCGUUCUCCGGAUUUACUGGGUGUAAAGGGAGCGUAGACGUUUAUGCAAGUCUGAAGUGAAAGCCCAGGGCUCAAACAUGGGACUGCUUUGGAAACUAGAAAACUGGAGUGACGGAGAGGUAAGCGGAAUUCCAAGUGUAGCGGUGAAAUGCGUAGAUAUUAGGAAGAACACCAGUGGCGAAGGCGGCUUACUGGACUGUAACUGACGUUGAGGCUCGAAGGCGUGGGGAGCAAACAGGAUUAGAUACCCGAGUAGUC
rnacentral:rRNA from 1 species